rnacentral:rRNA from 1 species
CCUACGGGUUGCAGCAGUGGGGAAUAUUGCUCAAUGGGCGCAAGCCUGAUGCAACCAUGCCGCGUGUGUGAAGAAGGCCUUCGGGUUGUAAAGCACUUUCGGCGAGGAGGAAGGUGGUGAGCUUAAUACGCUCAUCAAUUGACGUUACUCGCAGAAGAAGCACCGGCUAACUCCGUGCCAGCAGCCGCGGUAAUACGGAGGGUGCAAGCGUUAAUCGGAAUUACUGGGCGUAAAGCGCACGCAGGCGGUUUGUUAAGUCAGAUGUGAAAUCCCCGGGCUCAACCUGGGAACUGCAUUUGAAACUGGCAAGCUAGAGUCUCGUAGAGGGGGGUAGAAUUCCAGGUGUAGCGGUGAAAUGCGUAGAGAUCUGGAGGAAUACCGGUGGCGAAGGCGGCCCCCUGGACGAAGACUGACGCUCAGGUGCGAAAGCGUGGGGAGCAAACAGGAUUAGAUACCCCUGUAGUC